GUCAAGCCGCAUUUCUGUGCUUUAGCCUUAUCCCAUAUUUUCCUAAGCUCAAACGAACCAACCUGACCGGUAUUUAUGGAUGACUACUCGAUCAUUCAUCCGAUUUAUACCAGAUCAGACUCCUCCUUUAUCAACGAAACCCACGAUAUCUCAGCCACCAUCAUGCCCACGAUAUCCGGUUGUCACCACCUAUUCCAACAUUCGAAGCCUCCGAGCUGCAACCAAUUGCGUUCAACGACCUUGACACCCUCCGCACAACCAUCACAACUUCUCCCCUCUGCAAUCGGACCUUCAACUCGCGAUUCAGCCGACAUGAAUCACCAUUGCCGCUCACCUUAGUUCCGUUCCGUAUGACCUGGUGUGUCUCUAAUUAGUUCUGUUCGACUGUUAAGGUUUUUGAUUGUUUAAGGAAGAUUUGUUUGGAUUUUGCUUUGCUUGCUAACUAAGGUAAUUUGGGAAACGUGGGGAAUACGUGAAGAGUGUCGUGAAGAUAAAGAUUUAUUUUUAUUUCGGUAAUGUAAUGAAAAUGUAAUUAGGAUCUUUUGUUUUCAACGUUAUGGAUUGGUUUUAGUUUUGAUAUCUGUAUGAGUGACACGUCAGCCUGUCCAGGUUGGGGUGUUACACAGAGUCAAUGCAUAAAAGAAAAAUAGAUUUAAAAAUAAAAUUGGUAGCUAUAUAUGCCAUGUGGACAGCAAUAUAAACAUCAAG